GGUUGAUCCUGCCAGUAAUCAUAUGCUUGUCUCAAAGAUUAAGCCAUGCAUGUCUAAGUAUAAGCACCUUAUACAGUGAAACUGCGGAUGGCUCAUUAAAUCAGUUAUCGUCCCUUUGAUAGUGCCCUUGCUACUUGGAUAACCGUAGUAAUUCUAGAGCUAAUACAUGCUGAAAACGGCGCUCCCUCGACGGGGCGCCGUGUAUUUAUUAGAUAAGAAGCCGACCCAGGGGCGACCCUGGUCUUCGGGUGAUUCACGGUAACUUCGCGAAUCGCACGGCCCAGCGCCGGCG
rnacentral:rRNA from 1 species